GGGCUAUGCUAUCAUCCUGGAGCCCACUCUGCUAACAAUUAGCAGAACGGAAGCCUUAAUUUCCAGAUUCUAGUGAACUUGAUGAGUCAAGACUAUUGCAAUUGGAAAUCUGUUCUCCUCUGCUGCUGCAUUCCCUGCUUAAUACUCAAGCCAGAAACCAGGAAGGCUGUGGCUUGCCUUUUCACUUCUUGUGUCCUGUUUAAGAAAUAUCUGCUAUCCCAAGAUAACACUAACAAAGUUGACCUUAGAAUUGGAGUGCCUGGGUUAGAACCCUGCUGGUACCACCUGCUUACUGCAUGCUUCUGAUGUGAGUUCAGGAGAAGACACUGGCAAGGACAGCAAAGAACAGGAGAACACUCUAGCUUCCCUGAUAGCAUUCAAGGUGCUGUCCAAACUGACUGUGAUGGCACCCUCCAGACAGACAGCGAUGCCACAUGUUCAAGAUGGCAGAAUCACUAUCAGCUUCAAUUCCUGAAUGACUGCAGAGCAAAAUUUCUUACCUGCAACAUACACUCUAUUUUCAGCCUCCCUGGACUGUUACAUAAUGAUACAUAAAAAUAUUUCUUGUGUUGAGGCAUCCCAAAUUUGAUUUAUUUGUCAUCACAGUCUAUCCUAUGAAUAUAUUUCUGAUCCAAAUAAUGCUAGAUUCAUGAGAGUUUAUAGUCCAGAGAUUUUUUUUUUUUUUUUGAGACAGAAUCUGUCUCCCAGGCUGGGGUGCAGUGGCAUAAUCUUAGCUCACUGCAACCUCUGCCUCCCGGGCUCAAGUGAUCCUCCCUCCUUAGCCUCCAUGAGUAGCUGGGACCACAGGUGUGCACCACCACACCCCGCUAAUUAUUUUGUAUUUUUUGCAGAGGGGGGUUUCACCACAUUGCCCAAGCUGGUCUCAAACUCCUAGACUUAAGGGAUCUGCCUGCCUUGGCCUCCCAAAAUGCUGAAAUUACACUUGUUAGCCAUAGUAAUAGUUCCUAGCCAUAGUCCGGAGAUAUUUUAAAAACUUUAGUGUGAGUUAUUUCUCUUUGCUAUAAUUCUCUCAUGCAUUUUGAAAACCUUUUCUGCCAUACAGUGGUUUUUGGGAAGUCCUUUUGGACAGACAUAUCACAGGAUGGAGAAACUAAAAAGAGAGAAUGCAUUAAAGAAAAAAUAGUACUUCGUAUUUCAGAAAUUACAAAAGGGUGUCAUGCCCCACAGCAUGGUGGGCAGUCAUUUGUAACCCACAGAACAUUGAGUUUCUAAAAUUUGAGUGUUUUUAACUUACGAAGGCCAACUUUACUGAUGAAGUGAUUACCCCAAAUAUGUGAAAUCCAUAUUUCAAGUACAAUAGUAGGAAAUUGGAAAUGGGUAGGUAUAUUUCUGACUGUCAAAGAGUACAAAGUAAAGAGGGGCCCCUGAAGAGUGACACUACUGGAAAAACAGAA
ensembl:lncRNA CASC19 cancer susceptibility 19